rnacentral:tRNA from 1 species
AGAGGUAUAGCUCUGUGGUAGAGCACUUGCCUACUAGCAUAUGCAAGCCUUGGGUUCAAUCCCUAACACCACAA